UUAUACCUAUAAUGUUGAAGUAUCAGCAUUCCUUGGAGCACAAGGUGUGUCCCUAUUACCUACCAGCAGGAGACUUACAGAGAUCUUCCUGAUGUUAUUCAUGCCUAGAGAAUAUGCAGCUGCUCCCAACCCACUGGGGAAAGCGUGAGGACUGCUGGAAUAGCCUCAGAAGACAGCAGUAGCCUGAGUAAGCAACUUCAUGUGCAACAUGUAUACAGAGCUUCAUAUAAGAUGUGGAAUCCAACAUCAAGAGUUCUUUAGACUGUGCCAUUUGUUUUCAACCAGGAAACAGUUUUACACUGAAGCUAUCAUUGAGUUAUCAGAUUGGACGGAGUUCAGCUGAAUUGGCAUUAAAACAUUACUUUCUCCAGAUUUCAUCUCUGACCAGUCACAUUCAUACUAGAAUUAACAUUUUUCACUAUCAGAAUCAAGGACGUGUUUUUACAAAGCUGAAUACAAGCAAGUCACCGUCUUCUGAUGCAACUGCAGGUUGCAGCCUUGGAGGCUUAGGUCUGGAAGAGGAAAAGUAA
rnacentral:lncRNA from 1 species